UACCGAUCUACGGAUGAAAGCGGGGGAUCGCAAGACCUCGCGCGAUUGGAGCGGCCGAUAUCAGAUUAGGUAGUUGGUGAGGUAAAGGCUCACCAAGCCCGACGAUCUGUAGCUGGUCUGAGAGGACGACCAGCCACACUGGGACUGAGACACGGCCCAGACUCCUACGGGAGGCAGCAGUGGGGAAUUUUGGACAAUGGGCGCAAGCCUGAUCCAGCAAUGCCGCGUGCAGGAUGAAGGCCUUCGGGUUGUAAACUGCUUUUGUACGGAACGAAACGGUGAGCUCUAAUACAGUUUGCUAAUGACGGUACCGUAAGAAUAAGCACCGGCUAACUACGUG
rnacentral:rRNA from 1 species